UAACUGCGGAGGCAUGUAUGUAUUUAAUGAGAAAGAAAAAAAUGUAUGUGUAUACUAACAGAUUGGCACGGCGUAUGACUCAUGCAUUCAAUUUAAGGCCUAUACUGUUACGCAGCAGAUCUCCCGCGUGUGCGCCACUCGAUUCCUUUGUUCACUGACCUACUCAGUACUGGCUAAUUGUAUUUUCAAACUUUGCUGUUGUUGAAUGUUAACCUUUGUGUUCAAUAAUAAGAGAAGUUGGAACCUACAAUCGACGAUAAUCAACAGUUUGCGAGGACAACUGGGAAGACACCCGAACAGAUCCGGAAUCAAGACAAAAAAGAACAACAAUGCGAUGAUAUAUAUUUGUAUUAAUUACAUUCAUGCAAUAAACUUGUGUAUAAUAAA